UACGUAGGGAGCAAGCGUUAUCCGGAUUUACUGGGCGUAAAGCGCGCGUAGGCGGACGCUUAAGUGUGGCCUGAAAGCCCCCGGCUCAACCGGGGAACUGCGUCUGAGACUGGCGAGCUUGAGUGCAGGAGAGGAACGCAGAAUUCCAGGUGUAGCGGUGAAAUGCGUAGAUAUCUGGAGGAAUACCGGUGGCGAAGGCGGCGUUCUGGACUGCAACUGACACUGAGGAACGAAAGCCAGGGGAGCAAACGGG
rnacentral:rRNA from 1 species